GAUGAACGCUGGCGGCGUGCUUAGCACAUGCAAGUCGAACGAAGCACCUCUCCCGAAGAUUGACACAGCUUGCUGUAGAUUGAUUCAUUUGAGGUGACUGAGUGGCGGACGGGUGAGUAACGCGUGGGUAACCUGCCUCAUAGAGGGGGACAACAGUUGGAAACGACUGCUAAUACCGCAUAGUAAGAAGAAUUCGCAUGUUUUCUUCUUGAAAGAUUUAUCGCUAUGAGAUGGACCCGCGUCUGAUUAGCUAGUUGGUAAGGUAACGGCUUACCAAGGCGACGAUCAGUAGCCGGCUUGAGAGAGUGAACGGCCACAUUGGGACUGAGACACGGCCCAAACUCCUACGGGAGGCAGCAGUGGGGAAUAUUGCACAAUGGGGGAAACCCUGAUGCAGCGACGCCGCGUGAGUGAAGAAGUAUUUCGGUAUGUAAAGCUCUAUCAGCAGGGAAGAUAAUGACGGUACCUGACUAAGAAGCCCCGGCUAACUACGUG
rnacentral:rRNA from 1 species